rnacentral:rRNA from 1 species
UAGGGAAUCUUCGGCAAUGGACGGAAGUCUGACCGAGCAACGCCGCGUGAGUGAAGAAGGUUUUCGGAUCGUAAAGCUCUGUUGUUAGAGAAGAACGUUGGUAGGAGUGGAAAAUCUACCAAGUGACGGUAACUAACCAGAAAGGGACGGCUAACUACGUGCCAGCAGCCGCGGUAAUACUUAGGUCCCGAGCGUUGUCCGGAUUUAUUGGGCGUAAAGCGAGUGCAGGCGGUUCUUUAAGUCUGAAGUUAAAGGCAGUGGCUUAACCAUUGUACGCUUUGGAAACUGGAGGACUUGAGUGCAGAAGGGGAGAGUGGAAUUCCAUGUGUAGCGGUGAAAUGCGUAGAUAUAUGGAGGAACACCGGUGGCGAAAGCGGCUCUCUGGUCUGUAACUGACGCUGAGGCUCGAAAGCGUGGGGAGCAAACAGG